ensembl:scaRNA
GGCCUCUCUCCCAUUGGGCUGUGGGACCCUUUCCUCCUCAGCCAGGGCUAGAGGCCAAGAUCAGCCCUUGAGGAUCAUUGUCAGGACUGCCAUGAGUGGGCACCCUUGUUUUACUGCCUCAGACAGCU